rnacentral:rRNA from 1 species
GAUUCGUCACACUAUCAUUAACUGAAUCCAUAGGUUAAUGAGGCGAACCGGGGGAACUGAAACAUCUAAGUACCCCGAGGAAAAGAAAUCAACCGAGAUUCCCCCAGUAGCGGCGAGCGAACGGGGAGGAGCCCAGAGCCUGAAUCAGCAUGUGUGUUAGUGGAAGCGUCUGGAAAGGCGCGCGAUACAGGGUGACAGCCCCGUACACAAAAGCGCAUGUGCUGUGAGCUCGAUGAGUAGGGCGGGACACGUGGUAUCCUGUCUGAAUAUGGGGGGACCAUCCUCCAAGGCUAAAUACUCCUGACUGACCGAUAGUGAACCAGUACCGUGAGGGAAAGGCGAAAAGAACCCCGGCGAGGGGAGUGAAAAAGAACCUGAAACCGUGUACGUACAAGCAGUGGG